rnacentral:rRNA from 1 species
GCCUGCCACCAUAGCACCCUUAAGGCGAGCAAGUCCAGAAGCUAAGCAGGGUCAGGCUUGACUGGGGUUGGGAUGGAGGACCACCUGCAGAGACCAGGAGCUGGAAGCU